CCUACGGGAGGCAGCAGUGGGGAAUAUUGCGCAAUGGAGGCAACUCUGACCCAGCAACGCCGCGUGAAUGAUGAAGGUCUUCGGAUUGUAAACUUCUAUCAGCGGGGAUGAACACGAUGGUGGUACACUAAUAGCCAGCCACUGCUUACUACGUGCCAGCAGCCGCAGUAAGACGUAGGUGGCAAGCGUUAGACUGAAUGACUGGGUGUAAGGGGGUCGUAGGUGGUUUAGUAAGUUGGCAGUGAAAUCCCGGGGCUCAACCCCGGCGCUACCGCUAAAACUAUUAGACUAGAGUGCAGGAGAGGUAAGUGGAAUUCCUAGUGUAGCGAUGGAAUGCGUAGAUAUUAGGAGGAACAUCAGUGGCGAAGGCGACUUACUGGACUGUAAAUGACACUGAGGCACGAAAGCGUGGGGAGCAAACAGGAUUAGAUACCCGUGUAGUC
rnacentral:rRNA from 1 species